AACGAACGCUGGCGGCAUGCCUUACACAUGCAAGUCGAACGGUAACAGGUCUUCGGAUGCUGACGAGUGGCGAACGGGUGAGUAAUACAUCGGAACGUGCCUAGUAGUGGGGGAUAACUACUCGAAAGAGUGGCUAAUACCGCAUGAGAUCUACGGAUGAAAGCAGGGGAUCGCAAGACCUUGUGCUACUAGAGCGGCCGAUGGCAGAUUAGGUAGUUGGUGGGAUAAAAGCUUACCAAGCCGACGAUCUGUAGCUGGUCUGAGAGGACGAUCAGCCACACUGGGACUGGGACACGGCCCAGACUCCUACGGGAGGCAGCAGUGGGGAAUUUUGGACAAUGGGCGAAAGCCUGAUCCAGCAAUGCCGCGUGCAGGAUGAAGGCCUUCGGGUUGUAAACUGCUUUUGUACGGAACGAAAAGCCCCGGGUUAAUACCCUGGGGUCAUGACGGUACCGUAAGAAUAAGCACCGGCUAACUACGUGCCAGCAGCCGCCGUAA
rnacentral:rRNA from 1 species